UACGUAGGGUGCAAGCGUUAUCCGGAAUUAUUGGGCGUAAAGAGCUCGUAGGCGGUUUGUCGCGUCUGCUGUGAAAACUGGAGGCUCAACCUCCAGCCUGCAGUGGGUACGGGCAGACUAGAGUGCGGUAGGGGAGAUUGGAAUUCCUGGUGUAGCGGUGGAAUGCGCAGAUAUCAGGAGGAACACCGAUGGCGAAGGCAGAUCUCUGGGCCGUAACUGACGCUGAGGAGCGAAAAGCGUGGGGAGCGAACAGGG
rnacentral:rRNA from 1 species